ACAUGCAAGUCGAGCGGGCGAGGUUGCUUCGGUAACUGAGCUAGCGGCGGACGGGUGAGUAAUGCUUAGGAAUCUGCCUAUUAGUGGGGGACAACAUUCCGAAAGGAAUGCUAAUACCGCAUACGCCCUACGGGGGAAAGCAGGGGAUCUUCGGACCUUGCGCUAAUAGAUGAGCCUAAGUCAGAUUAGCUAGUUGGUGGGGUAAAGGCCUACCAAGGCGACGAUCUGUAGCGGGUCUGAGAGGAUGAUCCGCCGCACUGGGACUGAGACACGGCCCAGACUCCUACGGGAGGCAGCAGUGGGGAAUAUUGGACAAUGGGCGCAAGCCUGAUCCAGCCAUGCCGCGUGUGUGAAGAAGGCCUUUUGGUUGUAAAGCACUUUAAGCGAGGAGGAGGCUACUUGGAUUAAUACUCUAGGAUAGUGGACGUUACUCGCAGAAUAAGCACCGGCUAACUCUGUGCCAGCAGCCGCGGUAAUACAGAGGGUGCGAGCGUUAAUCGGAUUUACUGGGCGUAAAGCGUGCGUAGGCGGCUUCUUAAGUCGGAUGUGAAAUCCCUGAGCUUAACUUAGGAAUUGCAUUCGAUACUGGGAAGCUAGAGUAUGGGAGAGGAUGGUAGAAUUCCAGGUGUAGCGGUGAAAUGCGUAGAGAUCUGGAGGAAUACCGAUGGCGAAGGCAGCCAUCUGGCCUAAUACUGACGCUGAGGUACGAAAGCAUGGGGAGCAAAC
rnacentral:rRNA from 1 species